GAAACUUUGCACCGGGGCGGGGAGGAGGAGCGGCGCUGCGGCUCAGGUGCAGCGGGGAGGUCAUGAUUCCCAGAAGAAGAUCCUGAGAUAAGGAUUCACGUGAAAAUGAUUUGUUAAGGUCAACUUAGGUUGGAUUAGUGGGUCCCUUUAUGAGCAGAAUGAAAGUCAGAGAGAGAAGAAAUGGGGAAUAGCCAGAAGCCAGAAGUCAACAGAACCUGGUAGAGAAAGGAGAAGACACCGCUGUAUGCAUUGCCAUGUGACAGA